rnacentral:rRNA from 1 species
CGGCGGACGGGUGAGUAACGCGUGGGUAACCUGCCUCAUACAGGGGGAUAACAGUCGGAAACGGCUGCUAAUACCGCAUAAGCGCACAGUACCGCAUGGUACGGUGUGAAAAACUCCGGUGGUAUGAGAUGGACCCGCGUCUGAUUAGGUAGUUGGUGGGGUAACGGCCUACCAAGCCGACGAUCAGUAGCCGACCUGAGAGGGUGACCGGCCACAUUGGGACUGAGACACGGCCCAA